GGGCGCGUAGCUCAACUGGAUAGAGCGCCAGACUUCGGAUCUGGAUGUUGAGGGUUCGACUCCUUCCGCGCUCGCCA
rnacentral:tRNA from 1 species